AAGAAAAUAAAGUGCACCAGGUUGUUGUUAAUUUUAAUCCCAUAAUAAUAAUAAAAGAAAAAAAAAAACAAACGUCUCAUUAAAAAAUAAUUAACAAUAUAAUACCAAAUAAAUACAUACAACAAAAAUAAUCAAAAUAAAUAAAAUAUAAUUUUUUCAUAAGACAAGUAUGUAUAAAUAAAAUUAAAAUAAAAAAAAAAAAAAAACCCAUGAGCAAAGUUUGUCAACGAUUUCAACAUGUUAUACGAAACUCAGUGAUAGUGAUAUCAAUUUGAUAAUUAAAAAAUAAAUAAACCAUACAUAAAAUUAGCACAUAUUUUAUAUUAAUUAAUUUAAUCAAGCACAGACAUGUCAAUAAAAAAUAUUUUUGACUAAAAAAAAAAAUACAAUAUAAUAAUAAAUUUAGAUAAAAAAAAAAAAACGUGUUUAAAGCUAUAUGGGAAUAUGAUUGUAUCCUCGAAUGUGAUCAUCGUAUAAAAUUAAAUAAAAAAAGGAUAUAAAUAUUAUUUAUGGAGUCGUAUAAUAAUCAAAAUAACAAAAUGACAAAUAGGAGAGAUAAAGUAUCAUCAGGUUUUCUUGAUACAUGGUUUGGAAGACCAAAAAAAAGUGGUCGUGGGGGUGGAGUCAGAAGUGGCACUGGCUUCAAUACAAUACCCCGGCCAAAUUCUGGUGAUGAUUUUGAUGAAAUUGAACAACAAACAUCAAUUAUUGAAAGAAUGGAUGAAGAAACAAUGAAUGAACAAUUUGAAAAAAUGUUAUCAAAUAUGAAUUUAAAUGAAGAAAAAAAAGAACCACUUAGACAACAAUCAGAAACUAAAAAAAAAGAAAUGUUAGUAUUACAUUAUAAAGGAAGUAUACAAGAAAAUAGAUCUAAAUUUGAUAAACCAGCUGAUUAUAUACACUAUUUAGCACAACCAGAUUUGAGUGUUAAUAAAAUUUACAAUUGUAUUGAAUCAUUAAGAAUUGCAUUGACUAAUAAUACACUAAGUUGGGUACAAGAAUUUGGCACAAAAGGACUUAAACAAGUACUUGCUACUCUCAAUGAAUGUUACAGGAAUGCCUCUAUACAUUUUGAUAGUGAUAAUAGAUAUGAACGGAUUCAAUACGAAUGCAUACGUUGUUUAAAAGCAAUAAUGAACAAUACAGUAGGAAUAAAAGAAAUGCUUGCUCAUCAUGAAGCAUUGACAAUUGUUGCACGUUCACUUGAGCCAAGUAAACCAUCUGUAAUGUACGAAGCUGUUAAAUUACUUGGUGCUGUUUGUUUAAUAUCAAGUGAUAGUCAUAAAAAAGUACUUGAUGCAAUAACAAUGAAUGGUGAAUUUAAUGGACGUGAUAGAUUUUUACCAAUAGUACAUGGUUUAAUGAAUAAAAAAAAUGAAAAUUUACGUGUUGUUUGUUUACAAUUAAUUAAUUCAAUAAUAUCAUCAGCUGAAGAUUUAGAUUUUCGAUUGCAUUUAAGAAAUGAAAUAAUGCGUGUUGGUCUUGCUGAUAUACUUGAUACAUUAGAUAAUGAUGAUUCUGAAGAUUUAUCAAAUCAUUUAAAAAUAUUUAAUGAUUAUAAAGAAGAAGAUUAUGAAGAAUUUGUACAAAGAUUUGAUAAUGUUAGAUUAGAAUUAGAUGAUGUUAAUGAUUGUUUUGAAGUUGUUAAAAAUAUGGUUAUGGAUACACAAGCUGAACCAUAUUUUUUAUCUGUAUUACAACAUUUAUUAUUUAUCAGAGAUGAUGCAAUGGUACGUCCAGCAUAUUAUAAAUUAAUUGAAGAAUGUGUAUCACAAAUUGUAUUACAUCGUUCUGGUUGUGAUCCAGAUUUUAGUGCAACAAAACGUUUUCAAAUUGAUGUACAACCAUUAAUUGAUACAUUAGUUGAAAAAUCACGUGCUGAAGAAGAAAGAAAACUUGUUGAAAUGUGUCAAAAACUUGAAGAGGCAAUAUCAAGUAAACAAGAAGCUGAAGCUAAAUUACAACAUGCUGAAAAAAAAAUUAAAGAACUUGAAAAUAAUGGUGGUGGUGGUGGUAAAUUAAGUGGUAAUAAAGGUGGUAGUGGACCACCACCACCUCCACCACCACCAAUGCCUGGUAUGAUGGGACCUGGUGGUCCACCACCUCCACCACCAAUGCCUGGUAUGAUGGGGCCUGGUGGACCACCACCACCACCACCAAUGCCUGGUAUGAUGGGACCUGGUGGACCACCACCACCACCAAUGCCUGGUAUGAUGGGACCUGGUGGACCACCUCCACCACCAAUGCCUGGUAUGAUGGGUCGACCACCUCCACCACCAAUGAUGGGUGGUGGACCACCACCACCACCUGGUAUGGGUGGUUUUCCAGCACCAAAUGCUGUACAAGUACUACCACAUGGAUUAAAACCAAAAAAAAAAUGGCAAGUUGAUGGUCCAUUAAAACGUGCAAAUUGGAAAGUAAUAUUACCACAAAAAUUUACUGAAAAAUCAUUUUGGAUUAAAGUACAAGAAGAUAAAUUGGCAAAUCCAGAUAUAUUAAAUGGACUUGCACAAAAAUUUUCAUCAAAACCACCAAGCAAAAAAAUGGAUGAUGUUGUUGAUAAAUGUACAACAACUAAAAAAGUAAAAGAUUUAAAAGUUUUAGAUGGUAAAUCAGCACAAAAUAUAUUAAUAUUAUUAAAUGGUACAUUAAAACAUAUGAGUUUUGAUGAAGUUAAAAGUUGUUUAUUAAAAUGUGAAGGACCAGUUAUAUGUGAUAAUGUAUUACAAGGUUUAAUACAAUAUUUACCACCACCAGAUCAAUUAACAAAAUUACAAUUAUAUAAAGAUCAAUAUGAUGAUUUAACUGAAGCUGAACAAUUUUGUGUUACAAUAUCAACAAUUAAAAGAUUAUUACCUCGAUUAAAAUCAUUAAGUUUUAUGCUUAAAUUUGAUGAAUUAGUACAAGAUAUUAAACCAGAUAUUGUUGCUGGUACUGCUGCAUGUGAAGAAGUUAAAAGUUCAAAAAAAUUUUUUAAAAUAUUAGAAUUAGUAUUAUUAUUAGGUAAUUAUAUGAAUUCUGGUAGUAAAAAUGGUCAAGCAUUUGGUUUUGAAAUUAGUUUUUUAACAAAAUUAACAAGUACAAAAGAUAUUGAAAAUAAACAAACACUUAUGCAUUAUUUAGUUGAUACAAUUGAACGUAAUUUUUCUGAAUGUUCAAAUUUUUCGGAAGAAUUAUCACAUAUUGAUCGUGCUAGUCGUGUAUCACUUGAAAAUAUACAAAAAUCAUUAAGACAAAUGGAUAUAAGUAUUAAAAAUCUUGAACAAGAUUUAUUAAAUACAAAAAUACCACAAAAUAAUCAAGAUAAUUUCAUUGAAAUAAUGUCACCAUUUGCUAAAAAAGCUAGAGAAUCAUAUGAAGUUAUGCAAAAUAUGUUUAAAAAUAUGGAUACAUUGUAUUCUGAUUUAUCAGAAUUUUAUUCAUUUGAAAAACAAAAAUAUACACUUGAAGAAUUUUUUGGAGAUAUUAAAAAAUUCAAGGAAGAUUUUGAGCAAUCACAAAAAGAAAUUGUAAAGCUGCGUGAUGCUGAAGAAAAACAAAGACGUGCUAGGGAAGCACGUGAAAAAGCUGAAAUUGAACGUGCAGCAAGAGCUGAACAUAAACGUGCACUUGUUGAUAUGAAUGCUCAUGAAACACAAGAAGGUGUUAUGGAUAGUUUGAUGGAAGCAUUACAAAGUGGAGCAGCAUUUAGCCGUCCAGAUCAACGUAGAAAACGUCAAAUACGUGCUGCUGGUGCUGAAAGACGUGCUCAGCUAAAUCGUAGUAGAUCACGAACUGGUCUUGUUGGAACUGGAUUACUUGGUCGAGAAUUAUCCACGUAAGAAUUUCAAUUUUUGUUGUUUCUUCUUCAUGUUAUUCAUCAUUUUAUAAAUAAGGAAACUUUUAAGUUCAGCGUGAUAAUUAAUGGCUCGUCAAAAUCAAGUUUCUCUUUCUCCGUCCAACAUGUUGAUGAUGUGAUGUUUUUAUUUGUUUACUACUUGUUGAAAGCCAUC
rnacentral:misc_RNA from 1 species